CUACACUGUUGGUUAAGGGCUUGUAAGUUAAGCAUUUCACUGUAAGGUCUACACUGUUGGUUAAGGGCUUGUCAGUAAAGCAUUUCACUGUGAGGUCUACACUGUUGGUUAAGGGCUUGUCAGUAAAGCAUUUCACUGUGAGGUCUACACUGUUGGUUAAGGGCUUGUCAGUAAAGCAUUUCACUGUGAGGUCUACACUGUUGGUUAAGGGCUUGUCAGUAAAGCAUUUCACUGUGAGGUCUACACUGUUGGUUAAGGGCUUGUAAGUAAAGCAUUUCACUGUGAGGUCUACACUGGUUAAGGGCUUGUAAGUAAAGCAUUUCACUGUGAGGUCUACACUGGUUAAGGGCUUGUCAGU
ensembl:lncRNA